rnacentral:rRNA from 1 species
CUGUAAACGAUGUCGAUUUGGAGGUUGUGCCCUUGAGGCGUGGCUUCCGGAGCUAACGCGUUAAAUCGACCGCCUGGGGAGUACGGCCGCAAGGUUAAAACUCAAAUGAAUUGACGGGGGCCCGCACAAGCGGUGGAGCAUGUGGUUUAAUUCGAUGCAACGCGAAGAACCUUACCUACUCUUGACAUCCAGAGAACUUUCCAGAGAUGGAUUGGUGCCUUCGGGAACUCUGAGACAGGUGCUGCAUGGCUGUCGUCAGCUCGUGUUGUGAAAUGUUGGGUUAAGUCCCGCAACGAGCGCAACCCUUAUCCUUUGUUGCCAGCGAUUCGGUCGGGAACUCAAAGGAGACUGCCGGUGAUAAACCGGAGGAAGGUGGGGAUGACGUCAAGUCAUCAUGGCCCUUACGAGUAGGGCUACACACGUGCUACAAUGGCGUAUACAAAGAGAAGCGAACUCGCGAGAGCAAGCGGACCUCAUAAAGUACGUCGUAGUCCGGAUUGGAGUCUGCAACUCGACUCCAUGAAGUCGGAAUCGCUAGAAUCGAGAUCAGAAUGUACGGGAACUCC